ensembl:miRNA
GCCGUCAUCUUUGCCCGGUUGGUAGCUGUUGUUUCCACCUCGGGCAAAGAUGACGCUC